ACAUUGAAUUGGAAGCUUGUGUGCACAGUCCUAUAUUUCGCAUUGACUAGCUGUGUGUGUCUAUGCGUGUGCUGUUAUUGACUAGCUGUGUGUUCCGAUGUGUGUUUGUUAUUUUUUGCCUUCUAGUUUCUGAAUCGACUCUCAGUUUAAGCUCGUCUCAUCACUUUGCUUCAGCCGGGGAGUCUCCGGUAGAGUUCACUUGCACCUCGAGUGCAGUAAUAGAAUCCGGUGGGGUUCGGCUGCUCUGGUUCAGAAAGAACGCGAGUGAUGUAAUGGAACGACUGGACACGAAAUGCAACGAGUCCCCGUGCAAAUACACCAAUGAAUCCAACGGCCGGGACACCUUCAAGCUGAAGAUUCCCAACACAGAGCGAGAUGAUUCGGGUACAUAUUACUGCGCGCACCCACGAGUUAUGGACCUGGAGUUUUCGAAUGGGGCUGCAUUGAGCGUCAUAACAGAUUUGAAUAGCAGAGAAGUAGAGGAAGAAUCCAUAUACUCUAACCUUUUAUCUUACUUGUUGGGAAAGUGGUCAAAUCAGCUGAUUUGUGUCAAAAGUUACAUCGUUUACAGUAAAUAGCAUGUUGGAAGUCUGGGAGUUUUUAAACAAUGGGGAGCUUCAGAAUGUUGAAAAAAGUCCCAUUAAAGUGAAUGAAGAUCGACAAAAAAAGGACAAAAAGAUUAAUAGUUUAAAAAGUAUAAAAUAUAUCAAAGAGUUAUAUACAAGCACACUAUUCCAGACCGGUCUACACGUUUUCAAGUUUGUAGAUGUUUUAUCAGGAAUUACCUUUUUAUUUAAACUUAUCAAUACAUACAGCUUAUAUAACUGAUAACAACGUACCAGACACACUGAAGUAAUAUUGUUUACUUCAUACUCAUCUACGGCGCUGAUCGGAGAUUUCCGGGAUGAAACACGAGGCAAAUUUUAGGCAUUUUUUUCUGGCGACUUUCUCAAGCAAGUAGCAGAGGAGCGUUUACCGGAGUAAAGAGCGAACGGAACAACUCCGACCCCGAGCUCAGCGGCCCAGAUAAGCUACACAUUAAAAAACCCGCUGACAUUAGUUUGCCUGGCCCGGGGCCUCUCCUCGCCCGCGGUCCGGUUUCAGUGGUUCAUCUCCGGUAACGUCACGACGGCAACAGCGCCGGGCUCCGGGAUCAAAGAGACGGGCGGUGGCGGAGAGAGCUACAGCGCCACGAGCAGGCUGACAAUCCCGGCGGAGACGUGGCGGAGCGGGGCGGUGUGCGCCUGUGGAGCGCAACUGAACUCAAACACCGUCAUCCGCAGCAGGGAGAUCUCAUACACAGCGGGAGAUGCGCAUUUGGCAAAUGAACGGGAUGACGUCAAACAAACACCUGUCAGGUCUAAGAAACAAACCACAGGGCAAUGUGAAAACACGGGUUCUGGAGGAAGGCACGCCAGACCGAAGAUAGGAUCAGAGGUCCCGGAUGACGUGCAGUACGCCAGUCUGCAGUUCGAGGCGCGCGGGCGACGGAAAUGAAGACCGGGGCUGGACAGAUUAUUAGAAACACCUGUGCCAUGUAGCACACACUUCUGUGUAACUGCACUAUCCCUCGUAGCGCUGAAUCAUUUGAUAUGCAAAUAGCAGCACCGCUUUGCACUAUGAUAUUUGAAUGUAUCCAAUAAAUAUUUGUAACAAUAUCAAAUAAUUAAAUGCAAUAUAUGUAACCCCUGCUUUAAAAAUAAUUGAAAUACGCAAUACAAAUAAUUGUA